rnacentral:rRNA from 1 species
UACGAAGGGGGCUAGCGUUGCUCGGAAUCACUGGGCGUAAAGCGCACGUAGGCGGAUUGCUAAGUCAGGGGUGAAAUCCUGGAGCUCAACUCCAGAACUGCCUUUGAUACUGGCGACCUUGAGUCCGGGAGAGGUGAGUGGAACUGCGAGUGUAGAGGUGAAAUUCGUAGAUAUUCGCAAGAACACCAGUGGCGAAGGCGGCUCACUGGCCCGGUACUGACGCUGAGGUGCGAAGGUCAGGGGAGCAAACAGG